CACUGAGAAGCUUGAUAGGGCCUAGCGUUAGCCUUUUAAGCUAAAGAUUGGUGGCUCCCAACCACCCCCAGUGA
rnacentral:tRNA from 1 species